rnacentral:rRNA from 1 species
AUUGAACGCUGGCGGAAUGCUUUACACAUGCAAGUCGAACGGUAGAGGGGGCAACCCCUCGAGAGUGGCGAACGGGUGAGUAAUAUAUCGGAACGUGCCCAGUCGUGGGGGAUAACGUAGCGAAAGUUACGCUAAUACCGCAUACGAUCUAAGGAUGAAAGCGGGGGAUCGCAAGACCUCGCGCGAUUGGAGCGGCCGAUAUCAGAUUAGGUAGUUGGUGUGGUAAAGGCUCACCAAGCCAACGAUCUGUAGCUGGUCUGAGAGGACGACCAGCCACACUGGAACUGGGACACGGUCCAGACUCCUACGGGAGGCAGCAGUGGGGAAUUUUGGACAGUGGACGCAAGUCUGAUCCAGCCAUUCCGCGUGCAGGAUGAAGGCCCUCGGGUUGUAAACUGCUUUUGUACGGAACGAAAAGGUCUCUCUUAAUACGGGGGGCUCAUGACGGUACCGUAAGAAUAAGCACCGGCUAACUACGUGCCAGCCGCCGCCGUAA